rnacentral:ncRNA from 1 species
GUAUAGGCGAUAGAAAAUUUAAUUUAGCGCUAUAGAAAUAGUACCGUAAGGGAAUGAUGAAAGAUAAACCUAAGUAUAAAAAAGCAAAGAUUCAACCUUAUACCUUUUGCAUAAUGAGCUAACUAGAAAACACCUGACAAAGAGAACUUAAGCCAGAGACCCCGAAAUCAGACGAGCUACCUUAGAACAGCCUACCACAGGGCCAACUCAUCUAUGUGGCAAAAUAGUGAGAAGAUUUUAACGUAGAGGUGAAAAGCCUAACGAGCCUGAUGAUAGCUGGUUGUCCAAGAAGAAUCUUAGUUCACCUUAAAACUUACCUGCAUUUCCAAAAUAAAAUUACUGUAAGUUUUAAAGCUAACCUAAAGAGGUACAGCUCUUUAGAUAGAGGA